rnacentral:lncRNA from 1 species
CUCCUCACAUUUGGAAAAAAAAAAAAAAAAAACCCAGUGCAGGAAGCAAUCCCCUCCAGUUGUCAAUGAGCAGAAUAAACAAAAGGACAAAUCCAUUAGGAAGGUCCUUCCCCACCGCGAUGCCCGGUGCAUAGUAGGUGCUGGGUAAGUAAAUAUUUGUCGACAAGCUGCUAGAUUAUAGGCCCUGGGAUGGCGAGGACAGUGUGCAUGUCUAUUUUAUUCACUAGCGUGCUCCUUCAGCUUAACAUCAUAGCAGGCACGAAAUAGAAGCUCAUUCAUUCAUCCAGCAGCUGCUCUGUGCCGGGAUUACUCGGGGCCCCGUAUAAAUAUUUGUUGUAUUAGCUAGUGCUUUCACACAGACGUGAUUGAAUAAAUAAACGGAUAAAUGACUGGAAAAAAACAAUAAGCCCAUCAACCCACCAGCCAAUAACCAAUUUCAUUUCCCUUUGUUCUAGUUCUAGAACACUAAGCCUUGAGAUGUCUCUCCCUGUACUUCUUCUCACUUGCUUUGCUGGCUCUGAUGAAUCUUCCCAUCUCUGCCUCCCCAAACCGUGAAGUGUCAGUUCGUGUGCCAUUUCGUUGAAUCAUCCCAUCUGGCAAACGGGCUCCCCAAGUGGUCGUGUCUCCCCAGCUAGACACCGGACGCCAGCAGCCCUGGCCUGGAGCAAGGCCCCCCAGCGGCAGAGGCCGCCUGUCAACUCCUGAGCAGGCGGAGGCGCGGAGCCCUUCUGCGGGCAGCUCCCUUGCAAGAAGAAGGAGAAAGCAGGGGCUGGUUUUGGGGGCUCAGUUCUUUGUCCUGGACUCACCAGGCAAACAGAUCAGUCCUACCAGAGGCAGGGGGUGGAGACAGACACCAGUGGAGGAGAUUAUGGAGGAAAUGGGCUCCGAGGGCCAUGCCCAGGAUCCAGAUUCUGUGUCUGUAUGGAGAUGAUGAGCAUUAAGCCACGGCUGGCAGCAGAGACAAUAUGUCAAAGAGCACAUGACCCUGCGUGCAGUUAAGUAGAGUCCUUUGUACUUGGCGGAACCCUCGGAGGCAGAGGACGCCGUCCCAGAUUAAGGAGGUUUCUCAAUGGCUGAUGAUUUGUCCUUUUUAGAGACGGCAUCUUUUAAAACGGUAACCUCUGGGGAUGGACAUUUUUCUGGGAGGUACUUACUACAG